CCUACGGGUGGCAGCAGUGGGGAAUAUUGGGCAAUGGGCGCAAGCCUGACCCAGCAACGCCGCGUGAAGGAAGAAGGCGCUCGGGUUGUAAACUUCCUUUUAGAGGGAAGCACAGAACACGAUACCUCUUGAAUAAGCGACGCCUAACUACGUGCCAGCAGCUGCGGGAAUACGGAGGUAGGAGGUGGUGUCCGGAUUUACUGGGUGUAAAGGGCGUGUAGCCGGGCUGAUAAGUCAGAUGUGAAAUCCGGGGGGUCAAACCCCGAACUGCCUUUGAAACUGUUGGUCUUGAGUAUCGGAGAGGCAGGCGGAAUGCCUAGUGUAGCGGUGAAAUGCGUAGAUAUUGGGAGGAACACCAAUGGCGAAGGCAGCGUGCUGGACGACAACUGACGGUGAGGCGCGAAAGCGUGGGGAGCGAACAGGAUUAGAUACCCUAGUAGUC
rnacentral:rRNA from 1 species